UACGGGGGGGAGACAAGCGUUGUUCGGAUUUACUGGGCGUAAAGGGCGCGUAGGCGGCGCAACAAGUCACUUCGUGAAAUCUCCGGGUGCUUAACCCGGAGCGGUCAAGUGAUACGUGUCGUGCUAGAGUGCGGAAGGGCUACUGGAAUUCUCGGUGAUAGCGGUGAAAUGCGUAGAUAGUCGAGAGGAACACCUGCGGCGAAGGCGGCUCUCUGGUAACGGGAACUGACGCUGGAGAACGCCGAAAGCGUGGGGAGCGAACAGG
rnacentral:rRNA from 1 species